GACGAACGCUGGCGGCGUGCCUAAUACAUGCAAGUCGAACGAGAGCGACCGGUGCUUGCACUGGUCAAUCUAGUGGCGAACGGGUGAGUAACACGUGGGUAACCUGCCCAUCAGAGGGGGAUAACAUUCGGAAACGGAUGCUAAAACCGCAUAGGUCCUUUAACCGCAUGGUUGAAGGAGGAAAAGAGGCGCAAGCUUCUGCUGAUGGAUGGACCCGCGGUGCAUUAGCUAGUUGGUGAGGUAACGGCUCACCAAGGCCGUGAUGCAUAGCCGACCUGAGAGGGUGAUCGGCCACAUUGGGACUGAGACACGGCCCAAACUCCUACGGGAGGCAGCAGUAGGGAAUCUUCCGCAAUGGACGCAAGUCUGACGGAGCAACGCCGCGUGAGUGAAGAAGGUUUUCGGAUCGUAAAACUCUGUUGUUAGAGAAGAACAAGUGCUAGAGUAACUGUUAGCGCCUUGACGGUAUCUAACCAGAAAGCC
rnacentral:rRNA from 1 species